UUGUUUUCAUUUUGUUCUCAGGUUUUUGUUAUACAAAGGUGUUAAAUAACUUAAAUACAUUCUCCACAGUCACUCAGAAUCAGAUUUAUACCUACAAGCUGUACACAUGAGGUAGAGAAAAAUAAUUUAGGCUCUCAUAAGACACAAAAAAGAAUACACAAAUUCUUCAUAGGUUAGUGUUCACCUUUCCCAAGCCCUUAUCCCUUCAACACUUCCCAGCAGGCCAGGCUGGGCUUGGGAGGGGGACAGGGACAAAGGGACUGGGCCGGGUCGGGGGAUUGGUUGAUUCUAAGGAACUCCCUUAAUAAAAACUAGCUUCAGUUCCUUCCACUGAACUACAGGGUUUCCAGACCCUUCAACGUCUUGGCCACCCUUCUCAGGUCUAGCUCCAGUUUUGAGAGAAAGAGACACAAAGAAAUGAGGGCAAUGGGAAGGAAGGGAAAGAAUUGUAGUAAAAUCAGAUAAACUCUAUGUUAGACGUGCCCCUUUUAGAACGGGCUUGGGAGACCAUCUAGUCUAACCCUAACAUUUUACAGGUGAGGAAACUGAGGUCCAAAGCAGCUACCCAAGGUCACACUCAGUGCUGAAAGUCAAACUAAGGCCCUCUGACAACAAAGCCAGCACUCCUUCCACUUGGAUGACGCUAUGGACUCUUCCAGAUCUAAAAUCUGUGAUCUGAGCGUGAAAUCAGGACAGAAUACAGAAGCAGGAGAAAAGGAGGGAGAGGGACCCCAUCCCCACCUCCCAGCUCUGGACAUCUUCCCCAGAGGGGCCUGUCUGUGGUAGGAAGAGGCAGAGAAUGCAGGGGAAAGAAAAGGAGACUCCCAAGUCAAAGCUGGAGGCUGGGGAGGGUCCCUCUGAGGACCCCCUGUUUGCCCACUAUUCCUGGCUUUGGGAAUGGGUAGGAGAGAGAACACACACACAACACACAGAGUCACGGAGAGCAGACAUACCCAUAGAAUCCUACAGAUUAGACACAGACCCACACAAAUGCACAGAGUCACAGACCAGACACACACACACACACACACACACACACACACACACACACACACACACACAUCCUUGAACUAAUCCCUUCUGGAGCUUUGGGCCCAUUCCACUUGGCCAGAGGUGGAGAAGACCACAUGUUCUUAGUUCUUGGCAGGGCUGCUAGGGUUUCCGGAGAGAAGACUGAAGUUUCAGGCUUCUUUUGGAUUCCUUCUCCAUACAUACGUGUGCAGAACCCUGACCAGGAUUUUUUCAUCCAGGGCAAGGAACACAAACACUGACAAGUGGUAGAAAAGGCAUCAUCAGUAAAAAGGGAAAGGGAGGAGUGCCGGCUUGGACGCUGCCCCCUGUGUGCUCUGGGGGGUGGUAAAGGGUAUCAGAGGGACACAGCUUGCCAUCUGGUAGUUUCUGGUUUAGAUUAAUUAUUUUUGCUAAGUGCUAAGCUCAUUUUUAUCCCCACUACUAAAAAACUGCAAAUGCUGUCAAUGCCUCUAAAUUUCACACCCUUGGGCAACGCCCUAGUCACCCUGUCUUAGGUAGGGCUUUAUACAUCAGAGACACUAAAAUGUAGUGGGCAGAGAGCUGGGCUUAGAGUCUAGAAAACCUGGAUUCAAGUCCCUCUCUUUUUUUACUAUAUCACCCAGGCCAAAUCAUUUAACUUUUGUGUACUUUAAGCACUAAGACUUAUUUCUUAAAUCCCAAUAUCUGCA
rnacentral:lncRNA from 1 species